rnacentral:lncRNA from 1 species
UUUUUUUUGAGAUGAAGUCUCGCUCUUGUCCCCAGGCUGGAGUGCAAUGGCGCGAUCUCGGCUCACUGCAACCUCUGCCUCCCAGGUUCAAGUGAUUCUCCUGCCUCAGCCUCCAGAGUAGCUGGGAUUACAAGCAUGUGCCACCAUGCCUGACUAAUUUUUGUAUUUUUAGUAGUGACGGGGUUUCACCAUGUUGGCCAGGCAGGUCUUGAACUCUUGACCUCAGGUGAUCCGCCUGCCUCGGCCUCCCAAAGUCCUGGGAUUACAGGCGUGAGCCACCGCACCCGGCCUUUUUUUGGUCAGUUUUUAUUUGGAUUGCUUGUUUUCUUUUCAGAAUUGGGAUUUAGUUAUUUAUGUUGUCCAGAUUUUUUUGAGUUACGUUUGUGCUAGAUGAAUAGAUCCAAAUAUCUUCAUAUAUUAAUAGCUUAAGUAGUAAUCUUUAGUUUUAUUUAUAGAUCUCCUUUGUUUAACUAGAAGAAUCUACCUUUGUAUUUCAGAAACUAUAAUCACAGAAAAAUACUUAAGUGAUGGACUCUUAAAAAAUCAUAUUGCCCAAAUUUGACUGUUCUCAGAUUCUGAAAUUAGAGUUUGAAGUGUUGAGGGUUUCAUGAUUUAUUUAUUUGUUUUGAGACAGUGUCUGGCUCUGUCACCAGGCUGGAGUGCAGUGAUGCGAUCUCGGCUCACUGCAACCUCUGCCUCACGGGUUCAUGCGAUUCUCCUGCCUCAGCCUCCUGAGUAGCUGGGACUACAGGCAUGCGCCACCAAACCCAGCUAAUUUUUUUGUAUUUUUAGUAGAGAUGGGGGUUUCACCAUGUUGGUCAGGCUGGUCUCAAACUCCUGACCUCAGGUGAUUUGCCCACAUUGGCAUCCCAAAGUGCUGGGAUUACA